GACGAACGCUGGCGGCGUGCUUAACACAUGCAAGUCGAACGGUGAAAGCGGAGCUUGCUCCGCUGGAUCAGUGGCGAACGGGUGAGUAACACGUGGGCAACCUGCCCCUCACUUCGGGAUAACUCCGGGAAACCGGGGCUAAUACCGGAUAUGACCUCCUUGGGCAUCCUUGGAGGUGGAAAGUUUUUCGGUGAGGGAUGGGCCCGCGGCCUAUCAGCUUGUUGGUGAGGUAGUGGCUCACCAAGGCGACGACGGGUAGCCGGCCUGAGAGGGCGGCCGGGCACACUGGGACUGAGACACGGCCCAGACUCCUACGUGAGGGAGCAGUGGGGAAUAUUGCGCAAUGGGCGAAAGCCUGUCGCAGCAACGCCGCGUGCGGGAUGACGGCCUUCGGGUUGUAAACCGCUUUCAGCAGGGAAGAAAAUGACGGUACCUGCAGAAGAAGCCCCGGCCAACUACGUGCCAGCCGCCGCAGUAA
rnacentral:rRNA from 1 species